AUUGAACGCUGGCGGCAGGCCUAACACAUGCAAGUCGAGCGGAGCGGCGGACGGGUGAGUAAUGCCUAGGAAUCUGCCUGGUAGUGGGGGAUACCGUCCGGAAACGGGCGCUAAUACCGCAUACUAUCAGAUGAGCCUGGGUCGGAUUAGCUAGUUGGUGGGGUAAAGGCCUACCAAGGCGACUAUCCGUAAGUGGUCUGAGAGGAUGAUCAGUCAAACUGGAACUGAGACACGGUCGAGACUCCUACGGGGGGCAGCAGUGGGGGAUAUUGGACAAUGGGCUGAAGCCUGAAUCAGCCAAUCCGGGUGUGUGGAGAAGGUCUUCGGAUUGUAAAGCACUUUAAGUUGGGAGGCGUUACCAACAGAAUAAGCACCGGCUAACUUCGUGCCAGCAGCCGCGGUAAUAC
rnacentral:rRNA from 1 species